UGCAUUCACUACUGUAAGUCGCUCUGGAUAAGGGCGUCUGCUAAAAUGACUAAAA
rfam:Salmo salar isolate Sally breed double haploid chromosome ssa14, whole genome shotgun sequence.